rnacentral:tRNA from 1 species
CCUCGGGCUGGUGAAGACCAUGCCGACGCUGAUGUCGUCGGUGGACGCCUACGUGUUCCCGUCGCGCUACGAGGC